rnacentral:rRNA from 2 species
GCAUCCCGUUAAAUGAAGUGCUUGCACGGAUUUUAACAUCGGAUGAGUGGCGAACUGGUGAGUAACACGUGGGUAACCUGCCCAGAAGCAGGGGAUAACACUUGGAAACAGGUGCUAAUACCGUAUAACAACAAAAACCGCAUGGUUUUUGUUUGAAAGGUGGUUUCGGCUAUCACUUCUGGAAGGACCCGCGGCGUAUUAGCUAGUUGGUGGAGUAACGGUUCACCAAGGCAAUGAUACGUAGCCGACCUGAGAGGGUAAUCGGCCACAUUGGGACUGAGACACGGCCCAAACUCCUACGGGAGGCAGCAGUAGGGAAUCUUCCACAAUGGACGAAAGUCUGAUGGAGCAACGCCGCGUGAGUGAAGAAGGUUUUCGGAUCGUAAAACUCUGUUGUUGAAGAAGAACACGUUUGAGAGUAACUGUUCAGACGUUGACGGUAUUCAACCAGAAAGCCACGGCUAACUACGUGCCAGCAGCCGCGGUAAUACGUAGGUGGCAAGCGUUAUCCGGAUUUAUUGGGCGUAAAGCGAGCGCAGGCGGUUACUUAAGUCUGAUGUGAAAGCCUUCGGCUUAACCGGAGAAGUGCAUCGGAAACUGGGUAACUU